CCUACGGGAGGCAGCAGUGGGGAAUAUUGGGCAAUGGACGAAAGUCUGACCCAGCCAAGUCGCGUGAAGGAUGACUGCCCUCUGAGUUGUAAACUUCUUUUAUAGGGGAGUAAAACGAAUCACGUGUGCCUUUUUGCAUGUACUUUGUGAAUAUGUAUCGGCUAACUCCGGGCCAGCAGCCGCGGUCAGCCGGAGGAUCCGAGCGUUAUCCGGAUUGAUUGGGUUUAAAGGGUGGGUAGAUGGGUUGUUAAGUCAGUUGUUAAAGUUUGCGGCUUAACCGUAAAAUUGCAAUUGAUACUGGCAGUCUGGAGUACAGGUGAGGUAGGUGGAAUUCGUGGUGUAGCGGUGAAAUGCUUAGAUAUCAGGAAGAACCCCGAUGGCGAAGGCAGCUUACUAAACUGUGACUGACAUUGAGGCACGAAAGUGUGGGGAGCAAACAGGAUUAGAUACCCGUGUAGUC
rnacentral:rRNA from 1 species